UGAAUACGAGACGCUAAGGCGUCGAAGUAGUGUAUGUCAUACUUCCAAGAAAAGCUUGCACUGUCAUAGAUAAAAAACGCCUGUACCAUAACCGACACAGGUGGGUAGGUAGAGUAUACUAAGGGGCGCGAGAUAACUCUCUCUAAGGAGCUCGGCAAAAUAACUCCGUAACUUCGGGAGAAGGAGUGCCUUAUUCUUAAGGUUGCAAUAACAAGAUCCAAGCAACUGUUUAUCAAAAACACAGGUCUCCGCUAAGUCGUAAGACGAUGUAUGGGGGCUGACGCCUGCCCAGUGCCAGAAGGUUAAAGAAGCUGGUUAGCAUUUGCGAAGCUAGUAACUGAAGCCCUGGUGAACGGCGGCCGUAACAAUAACGGUCCUAAGGUAGCGAAAUUCCUUGUCGGGUAAGUUCCGACCCGCACGAAAGGCGUAAUGAUUUGGAUACUGUCUCGGAGAGGGGCUCGGUGAAAUAGACUUGUCUGUGAAGAUGCGGACUACCUGCACCAGGACAGAAAGACCCUAUGAAGCUUUACUGUAACUUGAAAUUGAAAUUGGACUUUAUUCGCGCAGUAUAGGUGGGAGGCGUUGAUUAUAAUCUUGCGGGAUUAUUGGAGCCAUUAGUGAGAUACCACUCUUGUAAUGUUAGAUUUCUAACUUUGAAUCAUUAUCUGGUCAAAGAACAGUUUCAGGCGGGCAGUUUGACUGGGGCGGUCGCCUCCCAAACGGUAACGGGGGCGUACAAAGGUUUCCUCUGAACGGUUAGAAAUCGUAUCUAGAGUGUAAAGGCAUAAGGAAGCUUGACUGUGAGACCUACAAGUCGAGCAGGGACGAAAGUCGGUCUUAGUGAUCUGACGGUACUGAGUGGAAAGGCCGUCACUCAACGGAUAAAAGUUACUCUAGGAUAACAGGCUGAUCUCCCCCAAGAGUUCACAUCGACGGGGAGGUUUGGCACCUCGAUGUCGGCUCAUCGCAUCCUGGGGCGGUAGUACGUCCCAAGGGUUGGGCUGUUCGCCCAUGAGAGCGGUACGCGAGCUGGGUUCAGAACGUCGUGAGACAGUUCGGUCCAUAUCCGGUGUAGGCGUUAGAAUAUUGAGAGGAGCCUUCUUUAGUACGAGAGGACCGAGAAGGACAUACCUCUGGUGUACCAGUUAUCGUGCCAACGGUAGACGCUGGGUAGCUAUGUAUGGAGUGGAUAACCGCUGAAAGCAUCUAAGUGGGAAGCCCACCUCAAGAUAAGUAUUCUCAU
rnacentral:rRNA from 1 species